rnacentral:rRNA from 1 species
AUACGUAGGUGGCAAGCGUUGUCCGGAAUUAUUGGGUGUAAAGGGCGUGUAGGUGGAUUUUUAAGUCGUGUGUCUAAGAGCGGGGUUCAACCCCGUAUAGGCGCAGGAAACUGGAGAUCUUGAGUGCAGGAGAGGAAAGUGGAAUUCCCAGUGUAGCGGUGAAAUGCGUAGAUAUUGGGAGGAACACCAGUGGCGAAGGCGACUUUCUGGACUGUGUCUGACACUGAGGCGCGAAAGCCAGGGGAGC